rnacentral:rRNA from 1 species
UACAGAGGGUGCAAACGUUGCUCGGAAUCAUUGGGCGUAAAGCGCACGUAGGCGGCCUAGCAAGUAGGGAGUGAAAGCCCUCGGCUCAACCGAGGAAUUGCGCCCGAAACUGCUGGGCUUGAGUGAGACAGAGGUGAGCGGAACUGAUGGUGGAGCGGUGAAAUGCGUUGAUAUCAUCAGGAACACCGGUGGCGAAGGCGGCUCACUGGGUCUCUACUGACGCUGAGGUACGAAAGCCAGGGUAGCGAACGGG